rnacentral:rRNA from 1 species
CCUACGGGGUGCAGCAGUGGGGAAUUUUCCGCAAUGGGCGAAAGCCUGACGGAGCAAUGCCGCGUGGAGGUAGAAGGCCCACGGGUCGUGAACUUCUUUUCCCGGAGAAGAAGCAAUGACGGUAUCUGGGGAAUAAGCCCCGGCUAACUUCGUGCCAGCAGCCGCGGUAAUACGAAGGGGGCUAGCGUUGUUCGGAAUUACUGGGCGUAAAGCGCGCGUAGGCGGAUAGAUAAGUCAGAGGUGAAAUCCCGGGGCUCAACCCCGGAGUUGCCUUUGAUACUGUUUAUCUUGGGUGCAGAAGAGGUAAGUGGAAUUCCGAGUGUAGAGGUGAAAUUCGUAGAUAUUCGGAGGAACACCAGUGGCGAAGGCGGCUUACUGGUCUGCAACUGACGCUGAGGCGCGAAAGCGUGGGGAGCAAACAGGAUUAGAUACCCCUGUAGUC